rnacentral:tRNA from 1 species
GCCUGGGUGGCUCAGUGGUUGAGCAUCUGCCUUUGGCUCAGGUCAUGGUCCUGGGGUCGUGGGAUUGAGUCCCGCAUCAGGCU